rnacentral:rRNA from 1 species
UUCGUAGGCGGUGCGGCAAGUCGGGAGUGAAAUCUCUGGGCUUAACUCAGGGGCUGCUUCUGAAACUGCCGUGCUCGAGUGCGGGAGAGGCGAGUGGAAUUGCAGGUGUAGCGGUGAAAUGCGUAGAUAUCUGCAGGAACACCCGUGGCGAAGGCGGCUCGCUGGACCGCAACUGACGCUGAGGAACGAAAGCUAGGGGAGCAAACAGGAUUAGAUACCCUGGUAGUCCUAGCCCUAAACCAUCAGGACUUGGGGUGCAUCCCGUUCGGGGUGCGUCCCGGAGCUAACGCGUUAAGUCCUGCGCCUGGGGAGUACGGUCGCAAGGCUGAA